UCGCUCGGUAUAAUAAUGCUAUUAUUAAAUUAUUUAUCGGGUGUAUAUGAAUCCCACUGUGCGUAUCGUGCUGCCUGAAGCAUGACGCAACGUUUGAAUCAACAAACGCAUGAACGAAAAUUUUGAUGUCUCCACCCCUUUAAACGUUGCCAGGUUCAGAUUCCAAUGGCGGCCUGUCCGGCGGACAUCACCGGUGGCUUACUAGGUGAAGAAAGACAAAACAGACGCCAACGAAGACAAAGAAGUUGUUAAAAACUUGACAUUUUGGCCUCCACAUGGGAGCCCUGUUAAUAAUGGAGGAGACACAGAAGAGGCAUGAGGUUGUAUGCGGUUUAGUAAAUAUGAUGUAGGGUCUGGUGCAACUGUAGGUAGAUUUGUCUUGUUCCCUACCUCUGUAUGUGACGUGGCUCCAGGGGCGUGGCGAGCCAGCCUAAGCGCCAACAUCUGCCUGGAACAGGUUGUCGGCUUCCAGAGUUGCACAUGUUCGUGGUUCAUUGCCGUCAUGGUGAAAGCUCGUUGCGGUAGGCAUCGUUUCAAUGUGAGUCCAUAGUGCGGCAUCCAUCGCUUAGCCAUUGUGGGCACUGCCACAAUACUUGCACGAGCGAGCAUAAGACAAUGUUUCAUUCGACCUUUGGAUGUUGUGUGGUUGCCGUAGAGGUAAGUGUGAAAGGAAAUGUGCUACUCGUGCCACUUGGUAUGAGAAAACUGAGAGCUGUGCAUAGCUAUCUAUAGUCGGGUACAACUUUAGAAAAAAGGGAAGGCCCCGCCCAGAUGACCGAAGUGCGACAGCCGAUUGCCUCCGCAACUAAAGUAGUCCCGCUCAAAAAACCAUGCUUCUAAAACGCGUAAUUCUCGGUUGAUGACUCGUUUGGUAGAGCUGUCGUGAUUAGAAUGCUACAGCACAUGCUGGAUUGUGAGAGAAAAAUAACCCCGUGCUUUCUACAAUGCUGCACGUCGUCUGCUUUUUAGCUUCAUUGCAAGAGACAACAGAAGAAAUAGCAGCUCUGCAUGGCCUUCACGUCAGUUUACAUGUACACGGCACAUUUGCUACUCGUUUUCUGAGCUUAAAAUGAAUCAGUUGUUAUUUAACAAGUACUUCAAGAAGCAAUGCAUUUAUCGAAGCCAUUACAGACCUGGGACGAGAAGAUGAUCGAGGCAGGAAAGAUACAAGAAUGCUUCAUACAUCAUUUUAAAUAAGUACUCUAGGUUUUAAAUAGCAUAAGAUUUAUAUUUUCUUGGUUUUGUGUUUUCGCAAACCUAUUAUGGUUUUUUUUGUUCCUUUUCACUUUUUUUUUUUUGGCAAGCCUGUAGUCUUGUAAAUUCGCAUAGCGUAGCGUCAGCGAUGCUCGCUGCAAUCUUUCGUCGCUGGAUCACGGCUGAGAAUAAACGCGCGCGGCACAAAUGAUGCAUCGUAAGCUCACAAUAAUAUUUCCAGCAUGAUAGACCACCACUAACAGUUUAGGAAUUUACUGUGACAAGGGGCAGACGCACACGACUGACGUGACUCAAACCAGUUCGAAGCAUGCGCGGCCAUCUUCUCCAUCAGCGGGGUCACCGGUCGUCCGGCUCGUGACUUCAGUCUAUAGGGCGCGCCCAUUGGUGGAGGCCUGUGUGCAUCCGCCUUGGAGGAGUAAAUGACCUUUUUUUUCUAAAGUUGUACCCGGCUAUAGUAGGGUACAACUAUAGUAGGGUACAACUGUAGGACAGCAAAGCAAUAAGACACCGUGAACUUACCUGUAAGUUGAGGGGAUAGCCUUGAAGUUUGGCACCUUGUAGGUGCCCAAAUUGGUAGUGGUGUCUAUGUGAAUAUCCAAUAUCACAAUUGAACUGUGUGCCACGGUGAUGUUCAGAAGGCGCGGCAUUGUGGGGACUACCCUGCUAAUUCGUAGUGCUCACAGUGCGAGGAACAAGCGUGAGCACCAGGAAGGGGAUCAAAGGCGAUCUGUGAUUGCCAAUACCAACUCCACUUCUGCUGAAUGCAUUGAAGAACUUUUUUGCAGCAAAAUAGUUAUAAAAUAGUGUAUUUUAAUGCCAAAUACAUUUCUAGACAUUGAUAACGUAGUGUUGCAGGGCCUCUUUAAGCAAUGGUACUCAGUAGGGACCGACUGGCAACAACCCUGAACACUGUUUGGAAGCCUGUGUUAUGGUGUAGGAAGAGCACUUGAUUAUUGCAGCAUGUCUCACACAUAGUCAAGGCAGCUGGACACAAAGUAUGGUUGGAAAAACUGUCUUACAUAUUCGACCAAUUUUCCAAGAAUAGGCGCAGUAAAACAAGUCUAGUUUUAUCUUUGUGUUCAGCCGACUGAUUCAAGCCUUCAUACUAGUAGUGUGCUUGUGGUAAUCACCCGUCGCAAGUGGCCCUGGACCUGUUUUCAAGGAGCAGUUCAAAUGUACACGUGUGAGUAUCCAAAGAAGUGCAGGUGUAUCAGAAAAUUGGGUGCAUGUUUAUAUAAAGUGAAGUAGUUUUAUCACCUUUGGCAGUGCUUUAUAAAACUUGUGGUUAAUGAAAUUCAGCAAUGUUGCAAGCUCUGUGUGCUUUUGGAAAUAAACAGUUGUGUUUGC